rnacentral:misc_RNA from 1 species
UAUAAUCUCGAAUGCAUCGCCACUGUUGUGUACCAACCCCUUCUCCAGUCUCCUCCUUACCUCUAAUUUUAUAUGAUUGUAACCAGUCCGAUAGUUAUACAGAAAGACACUGAGAAUAUCCUUGGAAGCUGAAUUUUGUGUUUAUAAAAAGGUUCUGGUGCGGUGGAUAGAUGUCUACUCUCAAUAAAGAGCUUGUCUUUUUAAUUUUACAGUUCCUCAAUGAGGAAGGUUUCAAAGGAGCUGCUCACAUGCUUGAGAAUGAAACUGGGUUUUACUUCAACAUGGAAUUUUUUGGGGAGUUGAUACUUAGUGGGAGUUGGGAUGAGGCUGAGAGGUAUCUUGCUGGUUUCACUAAGUUAGAUGACAAUAGAUGCUCGACCAAGAUCUUUUUUGAGAUCAGGAAGCAGAAGUUCCUUGAGGCGUUGGACAAGAAUGAACGUGCCAAGGCUUUAGAUAUCCUUAUGAAGGAUUUGAAAGUUUUUGCACCAAAUAACGAGGCCCUCUUCAUGGAAAUGACUCAGCUUUUGACAUUAAACGAUAUAAGGGAACAUGACUCACUCUCCAUGUAUGGAGAUACAGAGUCUGCAAGGCAAAUCUUGAUGCUUGAAGUUAAGAAAAUUAUAGAGGCAAACCCCCUUUUCCAUGACAAAUUGAAAUUUCCCAGCAUUAGAAGUCAGAGAUUACGCCGUCUCAUAAAUCAGGGUCUGAAUUGGCAGCAUAUACAUUGUACACUUCCUCAACCAAAUCCCAAUAUAAGUACCCUUUUUGUGGAUCAUGUUUGUCUACCACCAGAGGAUCAGUUACUUUCAACAUCAAUUGAUAACAAUCUAUUGGCCACAUCAAUGCCAGCACCAAUAUCCCCAGCCAGUUCUAUAUCUACACCAUCAACCGUGUCUCAUUCUGAAAUUUCUAGCGGAGCCAUCUGUCUUGGUGGUUCAACAAACCUAGAUGGUUUGAAGAACACUAAUGGAGUAUCUGAAAUUUUUCCUUCAGAGACCUCUAAUAAGGAAACAUCAGCUGUCACACAUCCUGGUGAAAGCUUUUUCAACAUUGACAAUGAUUUCUCGACUGUCAUUCAUCCUGAUCAAAGUAUUUUCAAAAUUCCUGAUGACUUGCCCAAGAGUCCUCAGAAGAACAAUACAUUUGAAAGCUGCAGACAGAUAAACAAUACUGACUUGCCCAAGACUGUUGCAAGGAUAUUGAAUGAGGGGUCAUCUCCAACGAGCAUGGAUUUUCAUCCUGUUAAACAAACUAUUCUUCUAGUUGGAACUAAUAUGGGAGAUAUAGGAUUGUGGGAAGUUAGUUCUGGGGAAAAGUUGCUGUCAAGGAAUUUUAAGUUUUGGGAUAUUGGAGCAUGCUCAAUGAAAUUCAAGGCAGCUCUUCUUAAGGAUCCAUGUGUUUCUGUUAAUUGUAUUGCAUGGAGCCCUGAGGGUUCUUUAUUUGGUGCUGCGUAUUCGAAACACAUGGUGCAAAUAUAUUCUUAUGUUGGUGCGAAUGAUGUCCAGCAUCAAAUGGAGAUCGAUGCUCAUGUUGGUGGUGUAAAUGACUUAGCAUUCUCUGCCCCUGAGAAAAAACUUUUGGUCAUAACUUGCGGUGAUGAUAAGAUGAUUAAGGUAUGGGAUGUCACUACUGGUGUCAGAAUGUAUAGUUUUGAAGGUCAUGAUGCUGCUAUUUAUUCUAUCUGCCCUCAUAGCAAGGAAGGCAUUCAUUUUAUCUUUUCAACAUCAGUGGAUGGCAAUAUAAAAGCAUGGCUAUAUGAUAACAUGGGAGCCAGAGUUGAUUAUGAUGCUCCUGGUCUGGGGUGUACAUCAAUGGCAUAUAGUGCUGAUGAUAAAAGGCUUUUCUCAUGUGGGACCAGUAAAUGUGGGGAGUCAUUUCUUGUUGAAUGGAAUGAAAGUGAAGGUGCAAUAAAGAGAAUCUACCAUGGAUUGCAGAAGAAUUCUUUGGCUGUAGUACAGUUUGAUAUAAUGAAGAAUCAAUUCUUGGCUGCUGGUGAUGAGCAUGUAAUUAAAAUUUGGGAUGUGGACAAUGUUGAUCUUUUCUCGACUAUUGAUGCAGAUGGUGGAUUACCUGCAAAUCCACGUAUUCGGUUCAACAAAGAUGGCACAUUGUUGGCUGUUUUUGCUAAUGAAAACAGAAUUAAGAUUUUGGCUACUGAUUGUGGUCUUCAGUUGCUGCACAAAUCUGAAAACUGCUCAGUUGAUGACUCUAGAGUUCUUUCUGAUACUUUUAGGAAGCUUGCAAUUAACCCAGCUUCAACUGUUACUUGUGCCGGAGUUGCUGAUGAAGCACUGGAGAAUGGGGACUCAAAAAGUUUGGAGGCUGUGAAAUAUGAAUUUACUGGGAAAGCUGAUCAGAAACUCUUUGAAAUGAACAAGUGUUCUCAGUGCCAGACCGUGCGGCUUCCUUCAUAUGUA